AACUGACAUCAGUCUUAGAAAAUAUUCUAUUAUAAUUCAACAUGAAGUUUAUUUGGAUAGUAUUUACUAUAUCCCUAAUGGUUAACACUUCUGUUGCAAAAAGGAGUCCGAUCUGCGACAAUAGGGUAGGAAGCGAGGAUAUUGGUUGCUUUGGAGAUGAAAUAGAGCAAUGGAUUUACAAUCCACUGGAAAGUAAUUGUGUGUCUACCUAUGUCUGCAGGCAGUACAAUCUUAUGUAUUUCGACACAAAAAAGCAGUGUGUACGCGAAUGCGUAUAAGCCCUUUUGUGUAAAAUGGUACUAAUAAUAAAUUGAUAGGGCUUCCUGCAUAACAAACUUGUAAAUUAGAUGAAAGAUGGGAGAGCCGCACUUCCCUAUUUCCAUAGCAAAUCUGAAUAUAUUUAAUGAUUUCAUUGUUACACUUAAACUUUCGAUUUCACACUUUGAUUUGUGGAAAGAUUUAAUUAGUAAAUGCACACAAAAACUGAUAUGAGUUUACUUGAACCUUUAAUAUUAAAUCGAACAUGAAGUUCAGUUGGCUAAUAUUUACCAUAGUCCUAACCGUUUUCGCUUUUGCCGCAGCAUGGCAUCCGAUCUGCGAAAUUACCCCUAAUACACUGCCACAUAAAUGUAAUCGUGCUAUGCAGAUAUGGAGUUACAGUCCGCUGUGGGGUAAAUGUACAUCUUGGUUAACCUGCCCAAUUCCCCGUAAUGGUGAGAAUAUGUUUAAUUCGAAAGCAGCUUGUUCAGAAACAUGCAAAGAGGAUGAACUCAGAAUCAAAGAGAGUCCCGCCUGCGGGAUGUGUACUAAGAAGUUUGGAGUAUGGAGUUACAGUAUCCUAGAAGGUAAAUGCAUUUCUUGGCUUAGCUGCUCACUUCCUCUCUAUGUGGGAAAUAUGUUCCGGUCUCAAGGGGAGUGCAAAUAUAAAUGCAAUUAGAACAUUAACUAAAAUCUUUUACAAACAUAAAGUUGAUAAAAAUUUUCCUUAUUUUUCAUGA